ACCGCCAUACUGUAUACAUGUGCCGCAUGUUCGACGUCGUGUAUAAUUUUUAUUCGUUCGAUAUAAUUUAAAAAUGUACGCAAUAUCAAAUUUGAAAUACAUCCUACAUUAUAUUCGCGAAUGUUUAAAAUAUAUAUGUUUUAUUUGUGAAUGUUUUAAGUACGUUUAUUUGCGCAGUGACAUAUAGCAGUUUCGCGCGUUUUUUUGCAAUUGUUUGUAGUCUAUGUUUGUAGUACACGUUUAUUUACGAAUAUUUAGCCCACACAUUUCUACGUAAAUUAUUCGUAUAUAAUUCGUUUAUUAUAUAUAUAAUCAUUUUAUUUGUGAAUGUUUCAUCAUUGAACAAUCAGUCAAGUAGACGACACAAUUUUCUAUAAAGUUCUUCAAGGAAAAAAAAAUUCAAUGUUGCCAUAAAGACAUGAAAAAUAAUAAAGUUUGAUUUUUUGAAGUUUUGAUUUGAAAUACGGAACUAUGUAAUGUUAGCCAAUCAGGAUUCAGUCUCAAAAUGAAUCAGUGCGCAUCAUUAUGCGCAUGGCGUCAGUCUACAAUUGAAAAUUAUAAUGACAGGUCUUGUUUCGUCAAUUACAUGAAAUUUUUAUCGUGUUGUGGUUAUUAAACUUAUUAUCAGACUUCUUUUCUCAAUAUAUGUUUGUUUAAUGAUUAUUAUACCAGAAUUGAACAUUUUUAUAAUAGAUUAUUGUUUGAUUUGAAGAUAGGAUGAAUAUUAGAAGAUUUUAAAGAUGGAAUACCUAAAAGGAUAAUAUUUUUUGUACAUACUAUGCAGUUAAGAGAUAAUCCGACAACUUUUAUGCAAAUGUGGAAAGUGAUAUCUUACUCGACAUGUUUUGAUGUAUCGAAAUUGCUACACGAGAUGCCAUUUUGCUAUCAAAAAAAUAAGUUCGCUUCAGAUAAAUAGUUUGACUGAUAGAAUUUACUUUAGGCAGGAAAAGGACUUUCAAUAUGGACAUCAUAAUUAUUUUAUAUUUUAUGAAAAAAGAGGUAAAAUUUAAAUUUCUAUAUCGAGGAAAAAUGUAAGUAUUUACUUUUUAUUUUAGUAACUUAUUAAUUACGUAUUAUGUAUAUAAUAUAUAAUUAUUAUAUUAAUUAUUGAAAAUAUUAAGAUAGAAAUAAAAAAGAUUUAAAAAAAAAUUUCAAAUAUGUCUAAUAUACACAACGUGAACAGAAUAUCAUUAAUUUUAAUAAUGAAUAUUCACAAUUUUAUUUUUUUUAAAUAGCAAUACUUUUUUAAUUAAACAAAUGCUCGAUAAGGAAAUAUAAACAUAUUUUGUUUCUUUUUUUAUUUUCCUUUCAUUCAAUUAAUAUAAUUUCAUUCCAGAUUAUUGUGACUACGCGCAAUGUGGUCGAUAGAAUCACUGUUUGUUUGUUUGUUUGUAAUAAUAUUAUCUGUUUUUUAAAGCACAAUAACUCUAAGUAAAUUUAAUUAAAAUAAUCAUUCGCGAAAUUAGAAUCAGUGUUUGUUUUCGCUGAUUACUCAAUAUAAAUGGAUGUGCUAAUAGUUUCUUAUUUUUAUUUUUUUAUUUUUAAUAAUUGUAUGGAAUAGACUCAGUGUUUAUCUCAAGAAAAUAAAGAGAUCAUCCAUCACGCGAAGAGAUAAUUGUCUUUUUUUCUAUAUAUUUCCAAAUCUUCAUGAUGAUUCAUGAUUUCUUCAUGAUGUAUGAACUACAAUGGCAAUGCAUAUUCUUCGCAUCUAAAGUGAGUCGUAUAUUUUGGUAUAUAUUUUGAUUCUUCCGAUCAUUCAAUCAUGUCGUAGGAUGAAAGGUCCAAAUCGAUUGAUUGGUUGUAUAUAUAGAAUUUUGCACGAGCACAGUGACCACUUUGUUUUAUUUAUUAGAUCAGGAUAGGUUUUCUUGCAUAUCAUGUUUUUUUAGGAAAAUGAUAUUGAAUAUGAUAUAAUUUAAUGAUAUAAAUAUAAGUAUAUUUUCUAUUUUCUUGUACAAAAAUGUAUUAAAUUUUAUAUGCAAAAAAACAUUUCGCGACAGGUAGAUUUCUGAAUCAGAGCAAUAAGUUUUGAACUGGUUUUGAAUUGGUUUUACAUUUAUAAAAUAUAAAUGCUUUGAUGAUGAAAUCGCCUUCAUUAUUUUAUUUAGAAUUUUUUUUUUAU